rnacentral:rRNA from 1 species
GAUGAACGCUGGCGGCGUGCUUAACACAUGCAAGUCGUACGGUAAGGCCCUUUCGGGGGUACACGAGUGGCGAACGGGUGAGUAACACGUGAGUAACCUGCCUACAACUUUGGGAUAACGCUAGGAAACUGGUGCUAAUACUGGAUAUGUGCUCCUGCUGCAUGGUGGGGGUUGGAAAGCUCCGGCGGUUGUGGAUGGACUCGCGGCCUAUCAGCUUGUUGGUGGGGUAGUGGCCUACCAAGGCGGCGACGGGUAGCCGGCCUGAGAGGGUGACCGGCCACAUUGGGACUGAGAUACGGCCCAGACUCCUACGGGAGGCAGCAGUGGGGAAUAUUGCACAAUGGGCGCAAGCCUGAUGCAGCAACGCCGCGUGCGGGAUGACGGCCUUCGGGUUGUAAACCGCUUUCAGCAGGGACGAAGCUUUUUGUGACGGUACCUGCAGAAGAAGCACCGGCUAACUACGUG